AGUGGAUGGGGAGCAACCUAGUUGUGCGUGUGUAAAGGUAGUGCCAAGAAAAGCGAUGAUCAUGUUGAAAAUCAAUUCCCGGUACCCGAAACCGACACAGGUGGGCAAGUAGAGAAUACUAAGGGGCGCGAGGUAACUCUCUCCAAGGAACUCGGCAAAAUGACCCCGUAACUUAGGGAGAAGGGGUGCCACCGAGAGGUGGUCGCAGUGAAGAGGCCCAGGCGACUGUUUAGCAAAAACAUAGGUCUCUGCAAACUCGAAAGAGGAGGUAUAGGGGCUGACGCCUGCCCAGUGCCGGAAGGUUAAAGAAGUUGGUCAGUUUUAGGAUGAAGCUAGCGACUGAAGCCCCGGUGAACGGCGGCCGUAACUAUAACGGUCCUAAGGUAGCGAAAUUCCUUGUCGGGUAAGUUCCGACCCGCACGAAAGGCGUAACGAUCUGGGCGCUGUCUCGGAGAGAGGCUCGGCGAAAUAGGAUUGUCUGUGAAGAUACGGACUACCUGCAUUUGGACAGAAAGACCCUAUGAAGCUUUACUAUAGCUUGGAAUUGUGUUCGGGCUUCCUGUGCGCAGGAUAGGUGGGAGGCGUAGAAGGUAUUCUUGUGGGGAUACUGGAGCCAACGGUGAGAUACCACUCUCAGGAGGCUAGAAUUCUAACUUAAUUAAGGACAGUUUCAUGUGGGUAGUUUGACUGGGGCGGUCGCCUCCAAAAAGGUAACGGAGGCGUACAAAGGUUCCCUCAGACUGGUUGGAAAUCAGUCGAAGAGUGCAAAGGCAGAAGGGAGCUUGACUGCGAGAAGUACAGUUCGAGCAGGGUGGAAACACGGUCUUAGUGAUCCGACGGUGCUGUGUGGAAGGGCCGUCGCUCAACGGAUAAAAGUUACUCUAGGAUAACAGGCUGAUCUCCCCCAAGAGUUCACAUCGACGGGGAGGUUUGGCACCUCGAUGUCGGCUCAUCGCAACCUGGGGCGGAAUUACGUCCCAAGGGUUGGGCUGUUCGCCCAUUAAAGCGGUACGUGAGCUGGGUUCAGAACGUCGUGAGACAGUUCGGUCCAUAUCCGAUGUAGGCGUGAGAAUAUUGAGAGGAGCCUUCCUUAGUACGAGAGGACCGGGAAGGACGCACCGCUGGUGUACCUGUUAUGAUGCCAAUUGUAAACGCAGGGUAGCCAAGUGCGGAGAGGAUAACCGCUGAAAGCAUCUAAGUGGGAAGCCCACCUCAAGAUGAGUAUUCUGGUGUAAGGUCACGGGAAGACGACCCGUAAAUAGGCACGAGGUGGAAGUGCAGAGAUGUAUGAAGCCGAAGUGUACUAAUAGACCGUCGGCUUGAC
rnacentral:rRNA from 1 species